rnacentral:rRNA from 1 species
GGUAGAGCAGAAGCUUGCUUCUCUUGAGAGCGGCGGACGGGUGAGUAAAGCCUAGGAAUCUGCCUGGUAGUGGGGGAUAACGUUCGGAAACGGACGCUAAUACCGCAUACGUCCUACGGGAGAAAGCAGGGGACCUUCGGGCCUUGCGCUAUCAGAUGAGCCUAGGUCGGAUUAGCUAGUUGGUGAGGUAAUGGCUCACCAAGGCGACGAUCCGUAACUGGUCUGAGAGGAUGAUCAGUCACACUGGAACUGAGACACGGUCCAGACUCCUACGGGAGGCAGCAGUGGGGAAUAUUGGACAAUGGGCGAAAGCCUGAUCCAGCCAUGCCGCGUGUGUGAAGAAGGUCU